UACAGAGGGUGCGAGCGUUGUCCGGAAUCACUGGGCGUAAAGGGCGCGUAGGCGGUCUGCUAAGCGUGCGGUGAAAGCCCGGGGCUCAACCCGGGUCGGCCGUGCGAACUGGUGGACUGGAGCUUGUCAGAGGCAGGCGGAAUUCCGGGUGUAGCGGUGGAAUGCGUAGAGAUCCGGAAGAACACCGGUGGCGAAGGCGGCCUGCUGGACAGUGCUGACGCUGAGGCGCGACAGCGUGGGAGCAAACAGG
rnacentral:rRNA from 1 species